rnacentral:lncRNA from 1 species
ACCCCUCCUGCUGCUGUAGGGGCAUUUGCCUGCUGGUGCUCCGGGAAAGGGCUGUGGAGGUGAGUGGAGGGGAAGAGUCCUUACAUCCCUGGAAGUGUUGGAGAUUGGCUGGACAGGGCUUGGAGCAUCCUGGACCAGUGCAAAGUGUCCCUGGGUAUGGAAUAAGAUGAUUUUUAAUGUCCCUUCCCACCCAAACCGUUCUGGGAUUCUGUGAUACCCAGGCAAGGCUCCAGGGUGGGCGUUAACAGCACAAACUGUGCUUAUUUACCAUUUUAAUCAAAACUGGUCUUGAUGGGCUCGGGUGCGUGGCAAAGCUCCGGCUCCACGUGGUGGUGGGAGCAGCAGGGCAGGACCCACAGCCCUGCCCCUUCCCGGGAUCCGGGAACGUGGAGUCACCUCCUGGGUGUGAGGAUUGGUGUCAGCGCAGGUGGCUUUUCAUGGCUUUGUCGCUCCCAAGGCGGCAGGAAAUGGGGUGAAUCAGGGGCAUUUGGCCCUUUUUCCAAAAGCUGCUCGUAGGGAGGUCUCGGACUGGAGGCAGGGAUGUCCUGCCAAGCUCGGGAGCGGCGGGAGGACACGGAAGGGUUUGGUGGGAGCUGUGUCAGGGCAGCACGGCAGGUACAGCUCCGGGGAGAGCAGCUGGGCAGGAGUAUCCGUGCCCGGAUCGCCUUCCCGCUCAUCUAUGAUUCAUUUACGUGCUCCAGGCCCCGCCAGCUGCUCCCGCGCACGGGUCAGAGGAAUAACAAUAUUAACAAAAGAGAAAAAAAGCGAAUUAAACCCCCCGAGGCAGAGUUAAACUUUCGGAACCAUGAAGCGUCACGUGGCUGCUGCUGGCAACCUCCUGCCCCUCCUCUUGCUCCUGGAGCUGGUCUCUCCAGAUGGGGGGAAAGGCAGGGCUGUGGGCCAGAAGAGCCUCCACAGUAAGCUCUUUCCACUGAUGCUCUGGGUCUGCUGGCACGGGGGCUUCUGGGACAAUGGCUUUUUGGUGUAGAAAAUGCGCCUUUUGGGACAGGAUUUGGCACAUCGUGGGGUGCAUAGGAGCUGUAAGUGUACAGCAAAGCCCCGUGAAAAUUGGGAUUGUUACAUGGCUGGCCUAACCCCCCUGGGAGCUGGUGUGGGGAGAGGGUGCCUGUGUGGCUCUUGCUGAUAAACAAUAGCCAGUGUGUGUCCAUUUGAUAGCACUGUGCCCUUUGGAAUAAAGGAUUUUUUUUUCCCCUUUUUUCCCCCUCUUGAAGCCUGGAGAUGGCUUGCCCAGAUUGGCAGCCUGAUUAAGCAGUCAGUGGAUGACAUUAGCUGUGAGUGACAGGCGCAGUCAAUCUCCCUCUGGUGUCGUGUUGGAUCAAGGAGAGCCUCACUGGGUAACUGCUCCUCUGGAAAGGGGACAGGCAAGGGAAAAACACAAUCCUUUGCACUCGCCAGCCUGUCUCAUUGGAAGGGGGCUGGUGGGGUCUGCCUGCCCAGCUGGGAACUUGCUCCUUCCUUGCAGUGACGAGCUGCAGAGCCUUGGACAGGCAGCACAUGGGAUGGAGACAGGGAUUUGGAGGCUUUGCAGUGUUCCAGCCCUUCUCUC